ensembl:lncRNA
GAACUUUUAAAAAUUUCUCUUUCAAGUUAUCUAACUUUGGGGAUUAGUAUUGUUUUUUAAAAGCAAAAUGUCAGGGGCUGGCCCUAUGGCCAAGUGGUUAAGUUCACGCGCUCCACUGCAGGCGGCCCAGUGUUUCGUUGGUUCGAAUCCUGGGCGCCGACAUGGCAUUGCUCAUCAAACCACUCUGAGGCAGCGUCCCACAUGCCACAACUAGAAGGACCCACAACAAAGAAUAUACAACUAUGUACUGGGAGGCUUUGGGGAGAAAAAGGAAAAAAGAAAUCUUUAAAAGCAAAAUGUCAUAAUUUUCUGUUCUUAAUGUAAUAGUGUAGAAAUUUUUAAACAUUUAUUUUGAUAUAAUUUAAAGUUUACAGAGACAUUGCCAGAAUAAAGCAAAGAAUUCUCAUAUAUUUCUUACCAAGAUUCACCAAUUGUUAAUGCUUUUGCUCCAGUUACUCUGUCAUUCACUUUCUUUAUAAACAUGUUUUCUAUCUUUUGAAAGUGGUUGCAGAUAUCACACCUCCCUACUCCUAAAUACUUGAGUGUGUUUUUCUUAAGAACAAAGACAUUCUCUUGCAUAGCCAGUGAAAUGACCCAAAUCAGAAAAUACAACAUUGAUACAUUAGUACUACUUUGUCCUGGGCCAGCCCUGGUGGCCUAGUGGUUAAGUUCAGUGCACUCUGCUUCAGUGGCCCCGGUUCAGUUCCUGGGUGCCUACCUACACAACCCAUCUGUCAGUGGCCAAGCUGUAGUGGUAGCUCACAUACAAAAAGAGGAGGAAAAGUGGCAGCAAAUGUUAGCUCAGGGCGAAUCUUCCUCAGCAAAAGAAAAAAUAGUAUUACUUUGUCCAGAGCACAUAUUUGACUUUUAUCCAUUAUUCCAGUAACGUUCUAUAUAAUUAUUUUUCCUGGGCUAAGAUUCCCAGGAUUAUGAAUUACACUGAGUUGUCCUGUUCCUUGAGCGUCCUUUAAUUUGGAAUAAUGCCUCUGUCUUCUUUUUUCUCUCAUAACGUUGGCAGUUUUAAAAGUGCCUAUUAUUUGGUAGGAUGUCCCUCAGUUUGGGUUUAUCUGAUGUUUCCUCUGAUUAGAUUCAGGUUAUGCAUGUUGGGCAGGGAAACAGAUGUGAUAUUGUGGUCUUCUCAGGACAUCACACCAGGAAGCACGUGAUGUUGGUUUGUCCCUUUAUUGGGGGAUAUUGGCUAUAAUCAUGUGGCUAUGAUGGUUCUGCUAGGUUUCUCCGCUGUAAAGUCACCAUUUCCCCCUUAGCAAUUAGUAGGUAAUUUGUGGAGAGAUACUUUGAGGCUAUGUAACUAUUCUUUAUUCCCCAAACUUUCACCUACUCUAAGCAUUCACUGAUAAUUUUUGCUUAAGUCAAUUUUUAUUAUAAUGGUUGCAAAAUGGCGACUUUCUAACUCUACCAUUCUGCCCACAUUUAUUAGCUGACAUUCUACCUAAAGUGAUAACAUUUCCUCCUCCCACCCCACCCUCAUUUAGUUUAAAUUUAUUUAUUUAUAUUUGUAUGGAUUCAUGGAUUCUUAUUGUAUCCAUAGAGUCUUCUUAAAAUUAACCUAUUCAUUGAAUCUGUUACCACCAUCAUUUUAAGCAUUCUUUUUUCAUUAUUUUCACACUUAGGGUAAACUUUCCUUUUCUGGGAGUAGUUUUAUCUCAAUCCUCUCUUAUCAUUCUUGUGCAUUUUUUCAGGACCCCUUUGCUCUCUGCAAAUGAGUGCAGGGGACUUCAAAAAUUGGCUCUGCUGGAAUUUGGUGCUUAUUUUUCUACUCCUAGGUAAUUUGUGGCUUGUAAUAAAUCUGUUUUCUAGUUAUGCCAAAGGUGUGAGUUUUGUGUGGUUUUACUUGUUCUUCUUGUUCAGAGAAAUUUGGAUUAGGUAACUGCCAUUACCUCAAGACCCAGGACGCUUACAUGUGAAGACUUUUAAAAGCUGGCAUUGAAUUUCCUUUAAUGAAGAGGAAUUGUCCUUGUUUGUAAAACAAUAAAACUUGAGAAGAUAUUCUUCAGUAUAACAUGAAAAGUUAAUGGCAUGGGUACUGAGAAAAUGGAAAAGAGAGAGAGAGCCAGUAUUCUCUGUGAAAGCGAUGAACAGAUAUUAGGUAAAGAAUGGUGAAAAGAGUGAGAGCGAAGAGAGCAGGAAGGAGAAGACAAAUGGCCAAGUAACAUGACAGACAUCCUUGGACGAAAAUGGACAGUAAGAAACUACUGAAGUUUGGUUCUGUAAUUGGCGUUCUGGAGCAUACCCUUAUAUAUUCAACACAUAUCUGUGAAGUGUCAGCCUCAUGCCAGGUCCUGUUCUCAGAACUGGAAAUGUAAGAAACAAGGUGACUCCUUCAGAUCAGGAUGCAGCAACAUUCUCAAGGAAGAGGAAACCAUCUUUAUACCACAAAGGUCUAAAGUCUGAUUCCACCGACAAGGGAGGUUCCCUGGGUGGUUGGAGUUUCAGGAUACGCGCAGAACUUCAAAUCCUCCCGUAUAUCUCCAUUUCAGUUCCCCAGUGCUCAUUUGAUACUGACCAAUGUGCUGUACGAUGCAAUGUAUGGGUAAGAAUAUGGGCUGCGGAAUCAAUUGUUUUCAUCCCAGCUCCGCUCCUGCCAGCUAUUUGACCUAUGAAAAUUCACUUAACCUCUCUGUACUUUGGUUUCUUAAUCCGUGAAAUAGAGAAGACAAUAAUACUUAAAAGGAUGCUUCUGAAUAUUAAAUAUGAUAAUACAAAUAUAGCACUUAGAACAGUGCCUUGAACAUAGCAUUUUCUAAGUGCUAGCCAUGCCUAUCAUUAUGAGGCUUGACAAGGCUGAGAAUUCAACUGAUAUUACAGUUGGACAACUCACAGCAUAAAUCUUUGGCCACUUUAGCCCUGCAGCUGCUUGAGCUAAGGAAUCAUUUUGAAUGGUUUUAGAAAGUCCCUGGGUUUCUAAAUGUCCUUGAUUUGAGCCAAGAAUUUAGGUUUUUAAACUUUUUAAUGAGUUAAUUUUUCUUCUUUAAAUUCUAUUUCAUGAUAGAAUAAGGUUGAUUUUUUUCACUAUAGGAGUAAUACAAUGUAUUAUAAAAAAAAUCACCACUGCAGAUACAUGUAAAGAAAAAAGUUAAAAUAAAAUGAAAGCUCUUUACCCUGAGAUGACAUUAACGUUUUGGUGAAUAUUCUUCUAUGCAUCUCUGUAUACAUCCCUGAAGUUCUGUGGGCCUGCGUUUUCACAGGAGCCCCAAGAACUCCAUGCUCCAGGACUCUCAACUCCAGUUCUCAAAGUUCUCUGGUACAAGAAGAACUAAAUCUUGCACUCAUUUCGUCCAUCAAGAUCUUGGAGGAGCAGAGGCUGUGUUUGUACCCUGCCAGCUCUUGAAUCUCCCCUGGUUAGAAAAGGAAAAUGGCAGUUGACUUGGAUUUGAGAAGCAGGCUGUCGACACAGAUUGAUGCCUAUUCUUUUUAAUAAAGUGUCUAGUGACAAUAAAUUAGCGCUUCUCACAUCCAUUCAUUAUGUACUUCAUGCACUGUAUGUGCUAGGCAAUAUGAUCCCCUAAAUCUUUACCCCAGAAGGUAUUUUAUCCUAGGAGACCAUAGGCAAUACAGAUUUUCCUCCUUAUAAUGACUGCUUAUUCAUCUAUCUUUUUGUCAUACCAUCUCUCGAAAAGUUUACUUCUUUGCAAAUGACUCUUUUCUUUACAAGUGUAAUGACAUUUUUUUUGUGCUUCAAAAUGUGCUAAAGAUAAAUAUUACAAGAAGUAAUAGUUCAGCAUUAUAUUUUCAGGCAAAGACAUAC